rfam:Jiangella alkaliphila strain DSM 45079 genome assembly, chromosome: I
GCGGGAGUGGCGGAAUUGGCAGACGCGCGACGUUUAGGCCGUCGUGUCUUCGGACGUAGGGGUUCAAGUCCCCUCUCCCGCA